rnacentral:rRNA from 1 species
GACGAACGCUGGCGGCGUGCUUAACACAUGCAAGUCGAACGGAAAGGCCCUGCUUUUGUGGGGUGCUCGAGUGGCGAACGGGUGAGUAACACGUGAGUAACCUGCCCUUGACUUUGGGAUAACUUCAGGAAACUGGGGCUAAUACCGGAUAGGAGCUCCUGCUGCAUGGUGGGGGUUGGAAAGUUUCGGCGGUUGGGGAUGGACUCGCGGCUUAUCAGCUUGUUGGUGGGGUAGUGGCUUACCAAGGCUUUGACGGGUAGCCGGCCUGAGAGGGUGACCGGCCACAUUGGGACUGGGAUACGGCCCAGACUCCUACGGGAGGCAGCAGUGGGGAAUAUUGCACAAGGGGCGGAAGCCUGAUGCAGAAACGCCGCGUGCGGGAUGACGGCCUUCGGGUUGUAAACCGCUUUCGCCUGUGACGAGGCGUGGGUGACGGUAAUGGGUAAAGAAGCACCGGCUAACUACGU